rnacentral:rRNA from 1 species
GACAGAGGGUGCAAACGUUGUUCGGAUUUACUGGGCGUAAAGCGCGUGUAGGCGGCUUUGCAAGUCGGAUGUGAAAGCCCACGGCUCAACCGUGGAAGUGCAUCCGAAACUGCAUGGCUGGAGUCUCGGAGAGGAAGGUGGAAUGCUUGGUGUAGAGGUGAAAUUCGUAGAUAUCAAGCAGAACACCUGCGGCGAAGGCGGCCUUCUGGACGAUGACUGACGCUGAGACACGAAAGCGUGGGGAGCAAACAGG